AACGUAGGGGACAAGCGUUAUCCGGAUUUACUGGGCGUAAAGCGCCCGUAGGCGGCCUGACAAGUUGGACGUGAAAGCUCCUGGCUUAACUGGGAGAGGCCGUUCAAAACUGUCAAGCUAGAGUCUGGAAGAGGAGAGCGGAAUUCCCGGUGUAGUGGUGGAAUGCGUAGAUAUGUGGAGGAACACCGAUGGCGAAGGCAGCCCCCUGGGUUAACACUGACGCUCAUGCACGAAAGCGUGGGGAGCAAACAGG
rnacentral:rRNA from 1 species